AGCAGUAGCCGCGGUAAUGCGAAGGGUGCAAGCGUUAAUCGGAAUUACUGGGCGUAAAGCGUGCGUAGGCGGUUUGUUAAGUCUGUUGUGAAAUCCCCAGGCUUAACCUGGGAACUGCGCUUGUGACUGCACAGCUAGAGUAUGGCAGAGGGGGGUGGAAUUCCACGUGUAGCAGUGAAAUGCGUAGAGAUGUGGAGGAACACCGAUGGCGAAGGCAGCCCCCUGGGCCAAUACUGACGCUCAUGCACGAAAGCGUGGGGAGCAAACAGGAUUAGAUACCCCAGUAGUCCCUGUCUCUUAUAC
rnacentral:rRNA from 1 species